rnacentral:pre_miRNA from 1 species
AAUCUGUUCUUUUACUUUAUGUUUUGAUUCUUUGGCAGUUUUGGAUCCCCAAAGCAAAAAAAAAAUUGACACGUGGCACCUCACUUAGGGUGCCACGUCAGCGUUGACCGAGUCAACAAUGGACUGGGGGUCCAAAAUUGCCAAAGAAUCAAAACAUAGGGGGCUGUUU